UCGGGAAUUUUGGGCAAUGGGCGAAAGCCUGACCCAGCAACGCCGCGUGAAGGAUGAAAUCCCUCGGGAUGUAAACUUCGCAAGAAUGGGAAGCGGUACCAUUUGUAAGCUCCGGCUAACUCCGUGCCGGCAGCCGCGGUAAAACCGGUUACUCCUACGG
rnacentral:rRNA from 1 species